CCGGUCGAAAACCACGUGCGUGUGUGUGAGUGUGCGUGCGCUGUACCAGCCAAGUGAAAGUCUCGUUGCGCGUCAUCGACACUAAUCUGCGAAAAAGCCGGAAAUCAUAACAUCAGCCACAAUGAAUCCCGGUGCGCCGAACUACCAGAUGGCUUCGCUGUACGUAGGCGAUCUGCACUCCGACAUUACGGAGGCGACGCUGUUCGAGAAGUUCUCAUCGGCCGGUCCGGUACUGUCCAUUCGCGUAUGCCGUGACCUGAUCACACGUCGUUCCCUGGGCUAUGCGUACGUCAACUUUCAGCAGCCAGCCGAUGCCGAACGAGCGCUGGAUACAAUGAACUUCGAUCCGAUUAAGGGACGCCCGAUCCGUAUUAUGUGGUCGCAGCGUGAUCCUUCGCUGCGUAAAUCUGGCGUGGGUAAUGUGUUCAUUAAGAACCUGGAUAAAAAAAUCGACAACAAGGCGAUGUACGAUACGUUCUCGGCAUUCGGCAAUAUCCUAAGCUGCAAGAUAGCACAGGACGAAAAAGGCCAGAGCAAGGGUUACGGUUUCGUGCACUUCGAGACGGAGGAAUCGGCUAACAAUUCCAUCGACAAAGUAAACGGCAAAUUGCUGAACGAAAAGAAAGUGUACGUCGGCCGAUUCAUCUCGCGCAAGGAGCGCGAGAAGGAAUUGGGCGAGAAGGCCAAGCUGUUCACGAAUGUGUACGUCAAAAACUUUGGCGAAGAUCUGACUGAGGAGGCGCUCCGUGACAUGUUUGAAAAGUACGGUCCCAUCACAAGCCACCGCGUGAUGACGAAGGAAGGCAAGAGUCGUGGAUUCGGCUUUGUCGCUUUCGAAAGCCCGGAAGCUGCCGAAAGAGCGGUUCAGGAGUUGAACAACAAGGAACUGGCCGAUGGAAAGAUGCUAUAUGUCGGUCGUGCCCAGAAAAAGAACGAGCGCCAAAUGGAGCUGAAACGCCGGUUCGAGCAGCUCAAGAUGGAGCGCCUGACACGUUAUCAUGGUGUGAACCUGUACGUGAAGAAUCUGGACGACACGAUUGACGAUGAGCGACUGCGCAAGGAAUUCACCCCGUACGGUACGAUCACAUCGGCCAAGGUUAUGUUGGAUGAGGGCCGCUCGAAGGGCUUCGGUUUCGUGUGCUUCUCAGCACCCGAUGAGGCCACGAAGGCUGUUACUGAGAUGAAUGGCCGCAUCGUGGGUAGUAAGCCGCUGUACGUCGCGCUUGCCCAGCGUAAGGAGGAGCGUAAAUCGCACCUGGCGAGCCAGUACAUCCAGCGUGUGAAUAGUCUGCGCAUGCAGCACAUUGGUCAAGUGUACCAACAGAGUGGCAGCUACUUCAUGCCUACCAUUACUCAGCCUCAGCGCUUCUACGGACCGCAGGUUGCGCCGGUUCGCACUGCACCACGCUGGUCUGCCAGUGCUCAGAUACGCCCGAAUGCCGGCAAUCAAAAUGUGGCCGCAAAUGCUCCAACCGGUGGAUACCCGGCAAUUGCCGCAGCACACGUUGCCAACAACCAGUAUCGCCAGGCGGGUAAUGUACGUGGAGCCAACCAACAGGCUCCGAACGCUCAAUCGGCUCAAGCCUCAUCAGCGGCCAUGCGUAACGCUGCUCGUCCGAUUACUGGACAGCAGACUGCAGCGAACAUGCAAACGCGCCCAGUUGCGCCACAGCUGGCUGCUGGACAAACGCGUGCACCAAACUACAAGUUUACUCAGUCGAUGCGCAACCCACAGGUGCCACAACCAGUUCCAAUUCCGGCACAACCCGUUGCUCAACAAGCUGUCAUUGUUAAAGGUCAAGAACCACUUACUGCCAGCAUGUUGGCCGCUGCUCAACCGGCUGAACAGAAGCAGAUGCUUGGAGAGCGUCUGUUCCCGCUUAUUGAACAGAUGUAUCCGACACUCGCCGGUAAAAUCACGGGAAUGUUGCUCGAGAUUGACAACUCGGAACUGUUGCACAUGCUGGAGCACAAGGAAUCGCUGACAGCGAAGGCUGAGGAAGCUGUGGCUGUGCUGCAGGCACAUCACAAGACUUCGGCACAGCCUAACUAAAGCGACGACGAAGCAAACUGCAUAGAAGCUGAAGCCGUUGAAUGCCGUUCGUCCUUUUGUGUGAAAACCCUUUCGUUACCCGAGCGUAACGAUCAGUAGUGGGCCGAUUCGAACCAAGCUGUAACUUGCCGUGUGGAUGUUGGGUAAAUUAAAUUAAACAAACAUUUGAACUGUACUCACGUUUGCAGGUGUAUUUUUGUAAGAUCGGUUGUUACUGAUUCGCGCUAACGCUAAUGUGUGUGGUUUUUGCGCGUGGGCGCCCAAUUGCAUCAGCUGGCGUUCGAUUUUUUCAUUAUUCAUACUAUAAUAUUGAAUAUGUCAUUUACUCGUAACCGGCGCUAAACGAUUUCCCAGCUUAUGCGGAGCACUUUGCGCACGCUGCAAAUUUCUUAUUACGAUAACAUAAACCUAUCAAAUAUAUUACGCAAAAAUAUAUGUAUCAAGUAUAUAUAAAAAAAUACAAAAAAAAUGGAAAACAAACUAUAAAAAUCGUAACUGAAAAAGGUAACUUAAAAAAGAUUGCAAAAAGAAAAAGAAAUCCUCCUCGUAACGAAUGAGAGAGAGAGAAAAGUAAAAAAGUGAUGAAGUAAAAAGUCGAUGAGUAAAAACGACAAAAGAGCAACAUAAAAACAGAAAAUUCAUUUAAAAAAACAGUAAACAACAGAAAAUGUGAGCAAAGAUUGUUUUUUGAGAGUACCUUCAAUAAGUGAACCAUGGAAUCAUUUGUCAGGACAAGUGAAAAGUUGAGUAACUUGAAAUAUUUGCAAAGAAUUGUAGAGCGAAACAGAAUUUAAACAGUGGAAUAAAGAUCCGAGACUUAGAAUAUGAACACAGAAAUAAGAAGAGAUUCAGAAUUUAGAAGAAGCGAACACCAGCAGAGGUGAAAAGGAGAAAUUACGAAGAAAAAAAAAUGUGAGCCACAUAAUACCAUAAAAUUGGAACGUUCUAUGAAGAUAAAUGCGAUCCUAUUUCAAUGAGAUACAACAGAACAACCGAUGCGACAGUCUAAAUAUGCAAACGAAAUAAAAGCAAAAAAUGGAAAAAUAACAAAAAAACUGAAAACGCAUAAAAACAAAAAAGAGAAAAAACUUUCGUGAGAUGGAUGGAUAAUAUGAUGAAGUUGGUUGGGUGGUAGAAGGUAAUGCUUGCGAGAAAGCACACUAAACGAAGUACAUCGUCCGGCACGAAAAAAAACGGGAUAAAAAUAACAACAGACAAAAAAAACUGAAAAAACUUGCAACUAACGAAAAUUCUACAAACAAAAAAGGACAAGAGACGUAAAAAAACGGGAUGAGAGGAAUCAUUGUUCCGUUUAAAAUGAUGUGUGAAGAAGCAGACAGAUCAUCAUUGGUCUUUAGGUUGAACGGAUCUUUGAUGUUUGUUUUUUCUUUUUGUUCGCUUAAAAUAUUAUUUUCGCUGUUGUCAUAAGUACCUCCGGAGGUUAGCAAACAUUAUACCGAGGACAUCAGUUAGGAACAGGGUUAAAAACAAACCAAUCCUACGGCUCAAAAGUAUACGGUAUCCCCAUUAGAGGGAGCUCCGCCAUGCAGGACUAACUCCCGAGUAUCUGGCAGGUUCAGAAGCGUUUCAGAAGAGGACUGGACAGGGUGAACCCAAAGCAAUGGCUAAAAAUAAAACGAUGAUGAUGAAGAAUGUCGGCGAUGCAGGGAAAUGUUUGGAAAGGCCAUGUUACUCUUCUGAAUGUCCUAUCGUCGAUGGAAGUUGAAGUUAACUGUCAGUUUUUAGAAGAUCGAUUCAGUUAAGACGCAUGUGCACUAUAGAGAGAGAGAGGACAGGAAAGGAGGGCCCCGCUCGUGAUUAAGUUAUGCGUGUUUAGUUCAACCUAGGUGGAUUGCUUUUUUUCUCGUGCUUGUAGUACCUUUCCCAUACAAGAUUAUAACUCUUGUUACUCCACCAGGAAUGAUGCGCUCUUACCAUACGAAAAAUAUCUAGGAGAUUGGCAUGUUGCAUUGCCUUUGCAGCUUUGCAAUUUUGAAUGUAAAAGUAUAAAACAUUAAUUGUGAAUGUAUUGCGAUUAAAGUUUGCUUCCAGAAAUGAAAGCAAAUGAAGAAUGAAGAGAAUCCACGUCAGUUUUACUUUUGCAAUAACUACUGAAGAUCAAAAUUGCAGAAAGUCGCGGCGAACAAUUUAACGUUUUCCGAGUGAAGCAGAAUGCGAGAAUAUGCUUAUUCUGAAAUUCAAGUUGGUCUUUAAUGAACCAUCUAUAUGACCAAGCCAAUAACCGGCACUGAUAGCGUCUUAGGCCUCAUGGGUGGGCGGGCCUAGCUAGUCGGAUAUAUUUGUUUGAACAUUUCAAACCACUGACAAAGUCGUCUUUGUUUAUUUUUGAGCACAAGCAAGCGAGAAAAACAUCUGCUCUCACGAAGUGCUCAUAAAUAUGACGAACUGUUUCAGCGAGCGAUGUUUAUUGGAAACAAUUGAAAACACGUAAACAAAAUUGCAAUUCAACAACUGGGAAUCAAAUUAUUUGAAAAGAAAAACCGCAAGCGCACCCACAACCCAGUAAUUUGUUUCCGGAGCAGGUUUACAACUGUUCAGUUAGUAUUUAUAAUAUCCGGGCAUUCAAAAUUUAAUAAGCAAAACAAAAUUCAACCAACACACGAACUUUUCUAUUUCAAUAAAGCGAUAAGAUCCGGAAAGAA